rnacentral:tRNA from 1 species
GUUCAUGUAGAUUAAAUUAAAAUUGUGAGGCUGUUAACUUCAAGAUGGGCUUGUCUCUGUGAACG